ACCUCCGUCGCUUGGUAACGGCCAAACUCGCGGAGGAGCUCUUGCCUCUUCUCUCCGCUAGGUGACAGUAGAAGGUCAGCGGAAUGAGCGGUGCAGCGGAGUGCCGCGCGGGAGUAGCGGCCCAAGGACCGAGCCCUUCCUCCAAGAGGGAAACCCCAGAGGCUGGAACGAGAAUUGCUUAUCUUUUCCACCCCGGAUUCUAAAGUUUUGGUCUUUCCCAGGAAUGGCGGCGUUUUCUUCUGAUUCUCUGGAGCAGCACUGUCUUCCUGCAGUGUUGGAAACGUUCUCUGUCUACACCAUUCAAUAUGGCAGCCACCGGCUCUACGUGGCUACUGCGCCCUGGAAACGUGGCUCCUGUGACUAAGGAGCUGAAUUUAAAAUUUUUAGAGAGAGAGCGAGCACAAGAAGGGGG